CAGACCGCCUGGGCCGCGCUGCGCGCCGCCUCCCAAGAGCACAUCACCCGGCUCCGCGUGGCGGCCGUGUUCCACCGCACGGCGGACGAGCAAAUCCAGCGCCUGCGCCAGAUUACGUCCAGCCCGCGGCUGCGCGCCUCAUCCGUCUCCUCCUCGCCGCGAUCGUCUCCGUCCUCGACGUCCCACUCCUCUGAUGUCAUCGUCAGUCAGCUGAGCGAGCGCGAGACCCUGCUGCGAGAUGUGGGCCGCACGGUGCGCCUGGGGAAGCUGCUGCGGGAGCGGCUGCAGGAAAACCUCGGAGACAGGGAGCAGGACGCGAACGCCGCGGCCCGGGCGGCCAUCUCGGCCAAGCUGGCCGAGGUCGGCGCCUUCUGGCAGCGUCUGGACGCGCUGUGUCGCCAGUGGCGGCGCACGGCCGAG